ensembl:lncRNA novel transcript
CCUGACUAAGACUUUCUGUGGCAUUUGAAAACAUGGUUUUCCUUCUUUGAAGCUUCCUGAGCCCUGAACUUCCAUAUGCUAUGUUCUCGAUUCUGCACUGCCUGUCUGCAGGGGCCCGUCUUCCCGGCCCGCGCCUGCUGCGUGCCUAUUGGUGUUCCCCAGGAUUCUCUUCUAACUCACUGUUCCUCUUGUGCUGCCACACACACUCCCUGGAGAAGCUCAUCCUCUCUCGUGGGACAUGCAAAUUACUCUCAAAUCCCUGUCUCCAAUGGAACUCUUUGCCCUAGCUUUUCCCAUAGGCAACACAAAGCCAGCACUCCCAAAAUGGCAGUGGGAGCACAGUCAUUUUCCUGUUAAACUGCCCACUCUCCCCACCUUGCUAAACGGCACUGUGGCCCCCUGCAGGGGUGGGGGUGCUGCUACCGCACUACCCGCUCGCUACACGCAUCCACUCAAUUGCCAUGUCCUCCCAAAUCUCUCUCCUAAGUAUCUCCUAAAGGUCUCCCUCUCUCCCUGUUAUCUUACCUCCAUCCACAGCUGCCUGGAUGUUUGCCUUGUUUGCAGGCCUUACCAUCUUCUUCCUAGCUGCUGGAGUGACCCCUCUGAACAAUGAAACUGGUCUUGCCAAGUCCCUGCUUCAAACCUUUUCAUCGUCCCUCUACCACCUCCUUAAGUCUGGACUCUAUGCAGAUCGUGGGAGGUCUUCUGGGGCCAGAGCUGCUGCUCCUUCUCCGCAGCCUUGUGCUUUCUGCACCUGCAGUGCCAAAUCACCGGUGCUGGCUCUGGUUUUCCCCUCAGCGCAAAGUGGCUUGUCCUCCUCCUCCCUGCCCACUCAUCUCUUCACUUGGUGGAACCUUAUUCAUCCUUAACACCAGGUCUCUUAUGUUGGAGAAGACUUUAUAUGAUCACUUGGACCAGUAAUUGCCAAUUCUGGAUGGUCACCAGAGGGUUCUUUAAAAACAGAACCAAGGUCUGCACUGCAUCUCCAAGCCUGCAGAGAAAUGAUGUGUGACAGCCCGCCUUGACAAAUCAGCACUGCUUACAGCCCUGCCACCAGAAUGCCUUCACUCUGUCCAACUUGAAUUCCCUUUAAAGCAAUGGAAGGAAUCUGCUUUCCAAGAUCCCUUCAGAAGGAAAGAUUUGCAUUGUUUAAAGGAGAAUAAAAAUCAGAUGUCUAAGAAAAAGGAAAAAGACAAAGUCUCCUUUCAAGAAGUAACAACUCUGCCAGCUUACUCAGGUCAUGAAAUAAUGCUGUUGGCAAUGACUUUGGGGUGUUCUGUCACAGUCUCAGUACACUUUCUCCCCCCUGGGCAGUAUUUUAUAGUUACUGCUUCUACGCCCCAUUGGCUCAGACAUAAUUUAUUAUUUGUUUACAUGUUUCACUUACUCUGCUAAGGUGGAAGUCCGGUGAUGCAUUAUUACUGACAGCAUCAGUGUGUGUGUGUGUGUGUCUGUGUGUGUCUAUUUGUGUGUCAUUGAAAGACUCAAGGAGAUCUGACGGGUUCUGAACCUGCAAGUUUUCAGAGCACAAGUGGCCCCCCCAGGUCUACAAGAGCCUCCCUGGGCUCUUGGCUCAGAUCAAAUGUGUCCUAUGUCCCUGUAGUUAGUUCCUUCUACUUCUCUGAGGACCAAGACAAUUCCAGGAAGACACAGGCUCCCCGGGACUGUGACUUUCUAUUCUCUCCUUUGACUUGUCUUCCUGUGUAGUGAUCAAAGUCCUCCCAUUUCUGGGGGGAACGUCACAGUUUACACAGCACUUUCUUCACGACAAUAGCAUGAAGAAAAUAAUACCUGCCCUUUAUCUCCACAUGAGACACAGACAGGUCAAGGACGUGUGCAAGUUCAAAGAGCAAGAGUGGAAUCCAGCCCGAACCAGCACCCCAUGAUGGAAGGGGAAUGACCGUGGCUGGCCCAGUCACUUACAGCUCUUUGACCAGGGGCAGCUCACGAAAAGCUCAGGUUCUUCACCUGCUAAAAGAUGGCAGUGAUAGUGCUUACUGCACAGGGCUGUUUUAGAAAUAAAAUAGAUUUCUAAAAGUGCUCAGCAAAAUGACUAGCAUGUAAUA